GAUAAAAUGUAACAUAAAAAUUCUUUCUCCUUUUUUUCCCUUCAGAUCUUCAACUUGGUCCCGAUUAUAAAAUAUUUUCCAGGGCCGCAUCAGAAGAUGUGGCAUAAUGUCCAAGCCUUAAAAAAAUUUAUCUUCGAAAUUGUGGAGGAGCACAAGAAGACUCUGGAUCCAGACAACCCACGGGACUUCACUGACACCUACCUGAUCCAGAUGACCAAGCAGCAAGAGUCAAAAUUCAAGAUUCUACGUUCCAUGUGGAGAACAUGAUGUCAACCACUGACCUGUUCUUUGCUGGAACGGAAACUACAGUGACCACUCUCAGAUGGGGGGUCAUUUACAUAAUGGAUCACCCCGAUGUUCAAGUGCUUACACCUGUCAUAUAUGGAAUGAGCAGGGAGAAUGGAUAUAAGUGCGAGCAGACUUUAAUAACCAAAACAAACUAGCAAAAUACAAAGUAACUAACUACAAGGCUUAAACAAAGGAACACAAAGAGCAAACAAAACACGAGGAAGGGAAGGAACCACUACAUCAGACAAAGAGAUGAGUAGACCAGUCAAACACUGACUGAAACAAAGGGCUAGAUAUAGGCUACAACAAAUGGGGAACACCUCGGAGAGGGAGGAGACAGAGACUACAGACAGGGAACUGAGAUUGUUCUCAACUUAAUGGCCAUCUUCACUGACAAAGAGGACUGGAAGUAUCCAGACACGUUCAACCCGGACAACUUUCUGGAUGAGAAAGGGCAGCUCUGCAAAAAUGACUCCUUUGUGCUGUUCUCUCUGGCAAAUCAUCACUGGUCCACCAGAAAGUCUCCUGAUCCUGAAGAUGGAGCUCUUCAUCUUCUUCACCUCUCUGAUCCAGCGGCUGAAGUUUUCCUGGCCUCCUGGAGCUCCACGCCCAAACAUGGAUGGCACUAUUGGCGUGGUUCGUUCUCCCUACCCCUUCAAUACCAUCUGCCACAGCAGAGAGAACACUCACUGAAUCAAGUUUGGUUUUGCGUGUGAAUGGACAGCAUCACCCCAGGAGAACUCCCUCUUCUUUAACACAUCUAAUCUAUCACAAUAAGAGCAUGCUGUCAAGCUCUUUCUUUAAACCAGGACCAACCAGGGGUAAAUGUAAAAGUCCCAGACCACAUUAAC